rnacentral:rRNA from 1 species
UACGUAGGGUGCAAGCGUUGUCCGGAAUUAUUGGGCGUAAAGAGCUCGUAGGCGGUCUGUCGCGUCGGCUGUGAAAACUCGGGGCUCAACCCCGAGCCUGCAGUCGAUACGGGCAGACUAGAGUGCUGUAGGGGAGACUGGAAUUCCUGGUGUAGCGGUGAAAUGCGCAGAUAUCAGGAGGAACACCGGUGGCGAAGGCGGGUCUCUGGGCCGAUACUGACGCUGAGGAGCGAAAGCGUGGGAGCGAACAGG